GACAGGAGCUUGCUCCUGAAUUCAGCGGCGGACGGGUGAGUAAUGCCUAGGAAUCUGCCUGGUAGUGGGGGACAACGUUUCGAAAGGGAACGCUAAUACCGCAUACGUCCUACGGGAGAAAGCAGGGGACCUUCGGGCCUUGCGCUAUCAGAUGAGCCUAGGUCGGAUUAUCUAGUUGGUGAGGUAAUGGCUCACCAAGGCGACCAUCCGUAACUGGUCUGAGAGGAUGAUCAGUCACACUGGAACUGAGACACGGUCCUCACUCCCACCGGACGCAGGUUUGGGGAAUGUU
rnacentral:rRNA from 1 species